UACGGAGGGUGCAAGCGUUAUCCGGAUUCACUGGGUUUAAAGGGUGCGUAGGUGGGCAGGUAAGUCAGUGGUGAAAUCUCCGAGCUUAACUCGGAAACUGCCGUUGAUACUAUUUGUCUUGAAUAUUGUGGAGGUAAGCGGAAUAUGUCAUGUAGCGGUGAAAUGCUUAGAUAUGACAUAGAACACCAAUUGCGAAGGCAGCUUACUACACAACGAUUGACGCUGAGGCGCGAAAGCUAGGGGAGCAAACGGG
rnacentral:rRNA from 1 species